GGGAUUUUCGGUAAAUAAAGAAACCUAAAUGUUCUAGGGUUCUUGGACAUAAAAGAAGGAAUUUUUUACCGAUAAAUAUUGUUUUGCCGUGAAAAUAUAAAGAAAAAUCUAGAAGAUGACGUCUUGGAGAUAUCCUGGACAGUCUUAAGGGAUUACAACAUCCAGGAAAGAUGAAAUAGAGUCCAGAUAUGUUCCUUGUUGCUCACACUCCUAUUUGGCUCAAAAUUAGAAGAUAAAAAAAAAAAAAAUCAGAAAAUACAUAUAUAAAUUCGGCAAUAAUAUCUUCUCCAAGAAUUAUAGUUCAAAUUUGAAGGCUUCUCAUUGGUUAGAUGACACAAGAAUGCUGACAUGGAUUUAUCUGAUUGGUUUAAGCUGUGUGGAUCAAUUAGAUAAUUCUUAGAAAUUAAAAGAAGGAUCCAGAAGACUUGGAGACCAAGGUUGCCGUCCCCUAUAUAUAGAUGCAUCCUUGGGACGUUUUGAUCACCAAUUCUCUCAUUCUUUCACACACCAAAAGUUCUGUUCCACUCUCUAGUCUUCAGAGUUUUGCAUCUUCAGGCAAAGAGGAGGAGAAGAAGGAGCCGUGAGCAACCCUAGCCGCCAUCAUCCACCUUGUGCCGUAGCAAUUGAAGCCUUGCUUUCAAGUUCUUCAAGUGUUCAACGUCUACAAGUGUUCAUCAUUCAUUCCUUCACGGUGUGAUUCAAUCUUUUUCCUUGUAAACUCUUUAGUUUUUCUUUGUUUGAAUUCGUGGACUAUGACUUCUAGUUUACAUAUAAUGUUUAAGGGUAAAAUUUAAAGCCCGUCUUUAUGCUUGAAUGAAAGUUGCGAUUUCUUUAUAGUUGGUUUUCAUGUUGCUUAUGUGAGUUUGAUAAAUUGGUUUUGCUUUACAGAAAUCUUUUAUGCGUUCAUCUUAAUUGGUUCGAAAUUUUUAGGAUUUGCAUAUAAUUGAAGCUAGAUUUAGGGUAGCAAUUCACCUAAUAGUUUUAUAACGCUGAAUCAUAAGUAGUAAAGUCCUUGGACAAAAGUAGAAAUCAAUUGAGGAGGUUUGCAAGUAGAUGAAUUUGUCAUACUAGGUUGUGCACUUAAGUUGACAUUCUUUCUUUGUUCUUCAUGCAUUGAAAAUGUUCUUGAGUAGCUAACUUUUUAGAGUAUGAUUGCAUGUUCAAUAGAAUUAAUUUAGGUGCUUUCAUUUAGAUUAAUUACUCAAGGAAAGUAAAAUAUGAGAAAUCGUUUGCUUAUUAACGUUUCACAUGGUCAAAUUUUUUCUCAUGACAUUAAAAAUCAACUAUAGGAUUUAUAAUUAGAUUUCUUGCAUAUGAUUGUGGUUUUUAUCUUUGUUCUAUGCAUUCCACCCUUGUAUAUAUGUUUUUAUGUUUUCUUUAUUUUAUUUAUUUAUUUUAAUUUUCAAUUUUAAUCCUAAAAUCCUCCCAAUUUCAAUCUCAGGUAAUUUUAUACAUUUAUUUUAAAUAAAAUACCUUAUACUCAUAUUAAUUCUUUAUUUGUUUAUGCAAUUACAUGUGUACCCUCAAUCCCCGGCUUGAAUGAUCCCUAUUUAUCCUAUACUAACAAUGAUAUUUUUAAGUGUUAAAUUGCAUGCUACUUUUAGCAUAUCACUGAGAAUGCAGAAAUUAACUAAAAGGCAAAGCAAAAUCUAAAAAAAUUGGUGCAAGAAGUGUCGGAAUCAAAAUAGAGAAAUUAACAUGCAAACGUAAGAAAAAACCAACACAAAUGCAAUUAUGCAAUGUCCUAAGAUUCAAGUCCUAGGAAGGGUAAGCUCAAUAUGAAUGGAAAAUCAGGUUUGAAUGUUUGAAGUCAAGGAAGUGGCUGAAUGAUUUUGAAUGCCUUGACAACAAGACAUUGCUCAUCUCUUCAUCGGUACAGGGUAGCUCUCUCCUUAACUUAUAACUUGUACAGAUGGAGCAAUUGAAGACAAUCAACAUCUUUUUGUCUAAGCUUGAGUUUUUACAAAUAUGGAGUUCAUUAGUAUUUGUGUGGUUACCUUCACUCCUUGCAAAAUGAGGAAUCUUCCAUGAAGGAGCUUGGUCAGGCAAAAUGAGGAAUCUCCCAAAGUAAACGGGCCUCGGUCGUGACGAACGAUAUGAGGAUUGGGAAGAAACAUGAAUAGUUUGGUCCCCCGGUGGUUGUUUGUUAUUAUAGCUCAGUGACUCGAGUUGAUAAGUCCUUGAGGUAUCCUUGUUAUACUUAGUGCCUUAAGACCAACUGGUCUGAGAGCCACUGGCAUAAAACUCACUACAUGGGUCACUAAGUUUGCAUUCUAUAUAUGAAAAAAAAAGGGAGUUAUAAGGAAGAGGAUUCGAUUUAAAUUAAAAAAAAAAAGUUUAUGAGUUCUUGCAUGUGAAUACGUUUUUGUGAACUCUGUUUGGCUAUUUUGAUAGGGUUAAAACGCCACAUUGAUUCUUGUUCACUAUACCCCAAAGUCGAAUGAGAACCUCCCUUUGUUUGUGUCUAAAUUUCUAGGUUGGCUGGUUGCACAUGGUCCUUCCUUGUCAUUGAACAAAGCUUUGAGCUGAGUAAAUUUUAAAAUCAUCGGUUUUGCAUGUUUCGCGUUUGUUCACUAUACUCUUUCACAGGGAUUAUGUCACGUCUCAUUGCUUGCUCAUUAUCAUAUUCAUGCAUAAUUAUUUUUUUAUUGAAGCAUAUAUUUAGGGGCAGUUUUGAAUUUAUGCGUUGGAUCCAUUGUAUGCAAGUUUUUUGUUAUAAGGAUUAUUCAGGAAUGUUUCCAUCCCAUAUGCAUAUUUCCGGUUAUCCUUCUUGUGUUGCUCGUGCCCAUUGAUUACCCUUUGUCAUUCCUAGACAAAUAGGGGGAGAGAACGUUGUUUCUUAUACUCUAUAUGUUUUAUUGGUCUAGUUGUUUCUUGAUUGUUUCAGGAUUAAUGGUGAUUCAUAAACAAGAGAACGAAAGAAGCAGUUCUAGCUAUAAGAUCAUUGUGUGUUUAUAUUGUGAUUGAGGUUUUGUAUAGGAAUGCCAAAGGGGGAUAUUGUUAGAAUAGGUACUUGUAUUAUUGUCAUUCCCUAUACAAAACUACUGAGAAGAAUGAAAUUGAAGUUCAAGAUUGGUGAGCAAGACAUGACCCUAACUGACGAUCGUAUGACAUUUCAGAGGAUCCCCGACACAUUUGUGACAUUGACGAGUUACAAGAAAUCAUUCAUUCCUUCACUUGUUGAGGAAACUCUUGCUGAUUUACUAUCGAAUAUGAAGACUCUGUCACAUGCACCUACUUGUGAAAUUCUUACAAUCGAAGAUUCAGCUGGACCUCCUGGUGACUUGUUUUAUGAUAUAACGUAUAACAGAGAUACAGAAACUGAUGAGAAUCACAAAGGACUGAUGUAUGAGCCACAUCUUCCGCUCACAGAUUGAGAGGACUUGUUGCAGCGUCGUGGUAUUUGUUUGGCUUCUCGCUGUGUUCUUUGUGGUUAACAAGAAGUUUGGCUUAUUUGUUUUACACUACUUUGUGGUUUAUAUGGAGAGCUAGAAUCAAAAUGAAGCAUGAUAAUUGUGGUUACUAUGGAGGUCACAAAGAGGUUAAUUAUGGGUCAUGUUCAAGCUGCUAGCAAACUAGCCAUAGGAAGUUUGUAUAAUUCAGUGGUUGAGCUCCAAAUCUUAAAAUUUUUUGGGAUUAGUUGUCGUCCUUGUCGGAUUUCAAGGAUUGUUGAGGUUAAUUGGAUUCCUCUAAUUAUGGACUGGGUGAAGGUUAAUACAGCUGGUGCAUGGCAACGUGUUUCGGGAAGAGCAGGUUGCGGUGGAGUGUUUAGGGACUAUCAGGGCUCUUUUAUGGGUGCUUUUGCUUCUAAUCUAGAGAUUCCUAGUUCCGUUGAUGCGGAGAUCAUGUCGGUUAUUCAGGCAAAUGAGCUUGCUUGGGUUAGGGAGUGGAAGCACAUUUGGCUUGAGGUUGAUUCAGCUAUGGUACUUAAUUUCCUUCGUGCUCCCCAUCUUGUUCCAUGGAGGUUCCGUGUUGCUUGGGAUAAUUGUUUGCACCGUAUCUCACAAAUGCAAUUUAAAUCUUCUCAUAUUUUUAGAGAGGGAAAUCAGGUGGCAGAUGCGCUUGCUAAUGUUGGUUUGUCAUCGUCAGGCUUGGUGUGGUGGAAUGAGGCUCCUCCUUUUCUUCUGGAUCUUUGUCGACGAGACUCACUUGGUCUUCCCAAUUUUCGGUUUAUUUGAGUUGUAAUUUUCUUGUCGCUUUUCAUCUGUUGAUUGACUAGGGCAUAGCAUAGCUUUUCUGUUUUUUGGCUAGGGGUAUGGGCGUUGUCCUCCCUUCUUCUGUUUGUAUCAAUCCAGCUCUUUUAAUAAAUCAGGUUGGGAGGCUUUGC